GAAUCUUCCGCAAUGGACGAAAGUCUGACGGAGCAACGCCGCGUGAGUGACGAAGGUCUUCGGAUCGUAAAACUCUGUUGUUAGGGAAGAACAAGUACUAGAGUAACUGCUAGUACCUUUACGGUACCUACCCAGAACGCCCCGGCUAACUACGUGCCCGCAGCCGCGGUAAUACGUAGGGGGCAAGCGUUGUCCGGAAUUAUUGGGCGUAAAGCGCACGUAGGCGGUCCUUUAAGUCUGAUGUGAAAGCCCACGGCUUAACCGUGGAGGGUCAUUGGAAACUGGAGGACUUGAGUGCAGAAGAGGAGAGUGGAAUUCCACGUGGAGCGGUGAAAUGCGUAGAGAUGUGGAGGAACACCAGUGGCGAAGGCGACUCUCUAGUCUGUAACUGACGCUGAGGUGCGAAAGCGUGGGUAGCGAA
rnacentral:rRNA from 1 species